AGGAUCAAGGAACUUCGGCGGAAG
rnacentral:siRNA from 1 species